rnacentral:tRNA from 1 species
GGCUGGUGGCUCAGUGGCAGAGCACUUGCCUAGCAUGUGUGAGGCACUGGGUUCAAUCCUCAGCACCA